AAAUUGAAGUAGCAAACCGUGAGAGAGAAGGGAGAAAGAAGAAGAAGAAGAGAAAAGAGGGAAAUUAGAAGGGAAAUAGAAAGGUAUUGAAGAAAUAAGUUUAAAGGCUUAUAGCUUGAUAGCAUGUCACUUUUAUUGGACCUUCAGAACUUGUUCUUUUUGUUGUAAUUUAUACAUUUCCCUUUAUGUCUAGUUAGUGCUCCCAAACUCUAAAUUUAUAUGAACUCUUGUAUUAAGACAAUCGAAUUAUAUUAUAAAGUUAGUUUUGUUGUUA